rnacentral:rRNA from 1 species
GACGAACGCUGGCGGCGUGCUUAACACAUGCAAGUCGAACGGAAAGGCCCUGCUUUUGUGGGGUGCUCGAGUGGCGAGCGGGUGAGUAACACGUGAGUAACCUGCCCUUGACUUUGGGAUAACUUCAGGAAACUGGGGCUAAUACCGGAUAGGAGCUCCUGCUGCAUGGUGGGGGUCGGAAAGUUUCGGCGGUUGGGGAUGGACUCGCGGCUUAUCAGCUUGUUGGUGGGGUAGUGGCUUACCAAGGCUUUGACGGGUAGCCGGCCUGAGAGGGUGACCGGCCACAUUGGGACUGAGAUACGGCCCAGACUCCUACGGGAGGCAGCAGUGGGGAAUAUUGCACAAUGGGCGGAAGCCUGAUGCAGCAACGCCGCGUGCGGGAUGACGGCCUUCGGGUUGUAAACCGCUUUCGCCUGUGACGAAGCGUGAGUGACGGUAAUGGGUAAAGAAGCACCGGCUAACUACGUG